CUACAGAUGGUUGACCAACACAGGAGUGCUUCAUGAGUAGGCAAUCACUGAAACAAGGCAGAUCGAUCACCUCAAGUCCACCUUCAAGCCAUGAGAUUGCAGAUAAAGGAUUAGGCCACCUGACAGUCAACCCUUAUGCUUGAGAAGAUAGUUCACUCUAUGAACUUCCUAAUACGUGGAGCCAUGUUAUUCAUUGAUACUAAGGAUUUAAUCAGGCUCGUGGUUGGAUCUGAACCAAGGAUAGGAGUCAUGGAGAUUAAUUUGCCAACGGUAAGAACUGAUGGGGAAACCAAGGUGUUUGAGGUUUACAAUGGCUCAGCUUGACUCGGCUCAGACCAGCUCGUUAUACUAACGAGCUGUCUCAAUGGAACCAAGCUAAAAGACUAUCUCGGCUUGGCUUGGUCUGGCUCGUGAGCUAGGCACACCUGUACCGUCCUUGAGUCUUGUGUUCACCAGUUUUGCACGGAUGGGUUAACGGAAAGCAAGCGAGGGAGUUCCCUUCACGUUUAAUUUUGCCAAAACUUGGAGCUAGCAGCUCAACAAAUCCAUUGCAUUUGUGAAAUUUUUGGUAAACGCAAUUUGGCUUUUAGAUGAUCCAGUGAGAGGCUU